AGCGAACGCUGGCGGCGUGCUUAACACAUGCAAGUCGAGUGCGUAGCCCUUUGUAGCAAUACAGAGGGUGGGCGCACGGCGCACGGGUGAGUAACACGUGGGUAACCUGCCCUUCGGUGGGGAAUAACCCGCGAAGCGGGGCUAAUUCCGCAUAACAUUCCGGGGACACAUGUUCUCGGACUCAGAGGAGUGAUUCGCCGGAGGAGGGGCCCGCGCCCGAUUAGCUUGUUGGUAGGGAACGGCCUACCCAAGGCUUUGAUCGGUAGCCGGUCUGAGAGGAUGGCCGGCCACACUGGAACUGAGACACGGUCCAGACUCCUACGGGA
rnacentral:rRNA from 1 species